UUCAAACAUGUGCUCCAAUACAAUUAUACACACAUUGUUAUAAUCUUUUAUGAAAAUUUUGACAAAAUAAAUACAAAUAUUCAUAAUGAGACCAAGUGGUAAGAGAUAGGUGUAAAGUACAAGAUGUAAUGGAACUAAAACAUUUUGCACACAGAAACAAAAAUAUUUAAGCCACUUGAUGAUGUAUAACUCCAAAAAACUAAAUAAUUACUAAUCAAUUUAAUUGAACAAUAUAUCGAAGUCUAAUAAUUUAAAAUCUACCAGGAAAAAAAACAUCAACAAAGGUAAUAAAUAACACAAUAACAAAGUCGUAGAUAUUAACAAUCAUAACAAAUGUCAAAAUUAUAAAUUAUGUACCCAAUAUGUAAUAUGACUACUGCAAUACAUAUAUAUAAAAAGUCUAAGCAUACUUAUAUAACCAUUUUUGGUUUGCUAGAUAGAUUAAAAUCCUUACCUGAGACAUAAACUUAAACACUUAACAUGAUUGUUAUUGGAAUAACAGAAGUGUUAAUUGAAAUAGUGUAGCUUGUAAAAGGACAUGUAAGAGAAACUAACCCCUUGUUAAUCUACUCAAUACUACUAGAAUUUGACGGAACUUUUUUCCAAAACUAAGUCUCAAAUUCUAUCACUAAGUUCAACUUCUACAUGCUAAUGUCAUCUUCAUUUUUAACUGAAGCUUUUGCUAAAAUCCUUAUUAUGGUACAACCAGAUGCUCCGCAGGGCGUAGCUUUAUACGACCGCAGAGGUUGAACCCUGAACGGUUGGGGCAAGUAUGGACACAACAUUCAAGCUGGAUUCAGCUCUAAAUUUGGAUUGUGAUUAAAUAGUUGACACAGCAUAGGUUUCUGACACAGAAUGAAUGUGUUCU
rnacentral:lncRNA from 1 species